rnacentral:tRNA from 1 species
GGGUUCGUAGCUCAGUCGGUAGAGCAUUUGCCUUUUAAGCAAGUGGUCCCCGGUUCGAAUCCGGGCGGACCCA